GAUUUGUCAGAAUUUCCAUAUAAAUGUUAUACUACUGUGACUCUUCUCUUAUUUAAAGGUCUUUAAGCAAGCUGUUGGGAAAGCAGCCACACAAUUGGGCUGAUUAUUUGGAGGCCACAAUGUUUGGUCUCCGCACCAAAAAACAAGUCACCACCAAGUAUUCUCCAUAUUACUUGAUGUUUGGCCGGGAGGCAAGGUAUCCAUCAGAGGUACCUGACAAAUACGAGAUCAACAAAUCUGUGGAGGACAUUCUGGCUGAGGAGUGCAUCUCUGAAUCCAUAAAAAGGCAAGACCGGAUCUUCCAAACAGUCUGGGACAAUAUUAGUUGAGCCCAACAGAAGGCCAAAAAAAGGAAGCUGGAACAGGGAUUGUCUUUAGACAUUAAGGUUGGUGACAGGGUUUUGCGGAAAAAUAUACGGAGCAGGCAGAGGAAGGGAGCCAAACUGGACCCAGACUUCAUUGGUCCAUACACUGUGACGAGUGAAGACGGUAAGUCUAUAGAUUUAAGGGAUGACAAAGGACAACCAUUUCCCAAAAUUAACAAGGACCAUUUAGUUCACUUUUUGGAGGAACAUGCUUGUCCUGCCACCCAGCCACCUGUCUGUGCCUCAGCCUCCCAGCCAAACAGUGCAAUCUGUAUGUAUUGUUUUGCUGACAUGCAUGUACAUCUUUAUAUGAAUUACAGAAAUGUUACUUUCAAUGUAGACAAAUGGAUUGGAAAUUAAUGUUUCAUUUGCACACAGUAUUGCAAGACUAUGGGCCAAAAGAAAAGGUGGUGUAUUGUGUAGUAAAAUUGGUCCAUACAAAAUGUUCACGUGGGAUGUAGAUCGCCUCAGACCUGGAGAAAGGCUUGAAAGUGAAGUAAUCAAUGCAUAUCUGACUUUGCUGACAAAAAACUAUGUAGGCAAGGCAUAUGUCAUUGAUUCCUUUCAGGCCACAAACAUCUGGAAGAGCAAUGGCAGUUCUAUGAAGAGGCUGAAUCCAGAUGAAUACGAUGUACUGAUUGGGUCCAGUAAUGAGAACCACCACUGGACACUUCUGGUGAUAUAUCCUAACGAAUGACGUAUUUUAUACAUUAACUCAUUGGGGGAAAACCGGACUAAAUUGCUUCAGUGCGAAAAGGCUGUAAGCAAAUUUAUGGACACAAGGGGAAAGGUUGGAAAGUGGAAAUGUUCCACUGUACCGCACUGCUUCCAACAGGACGGCAAUUCAUGUGGUGUAUUUGUCUGUAAAUUUGCAGAAACUAUUCUCACAGGAGGCAGUUUCCAGUUUGCAAGCACAGCAGACAACAUUUCUUUGCUACGCCAACAGAUAGGCCUCUGUCUGCUACAAGAAAGUGAUUCAGUGUGACUGUUGCAGUAGUUGGAUCCACUGGGAAUGUGUAAACCAACCCAGUCUGUCUAAAGUAUUUGUUUGUCACGGAUGCCGAUUUUGAAUUUGGUUUAAUUGUAUUUUUGUUAGUCAUUUUGGUUUGUAAUGGAUGGCAACUUUUGAAAUUACGUUAAGCUUAAUGUAUAUAUGUUAUGUAUUUAAGCAAUAAAUACAAUACUAAAGUUCAUUUGUGUGUGUUUGUUUUAAGGACUGACAAGCUAUUUUGUUUGGCCUACGAAUUGUAAACGUCCUUAUAUAACUGGUAUACCUUU